rnacentral:rRNA from 1 species
ACGCUGGCGGCGUGCCUACGAUUAAAGUCGAACGGAAAGGCCAGCUUGCUGGGUACUCGAGUGGCGAACGGGUGAGUAACACGUGGGUGAUCUGCCCUGGACUCUGGGAUAAGCCUGGGAAACUGGGUCUAAUACCGGAUAUGACCUUACAUCGCAUGGUGUUUGGUGGAAAGCUUUUGCGGUUCAGGAUGGGCCCGCGGCCUAUCAGCUUGUUGGUGGGGUAAUGGCCUACCAAGGCGACGACGGGUAGCCGACCUGAGAGGGUGAUCGGACACACUGGGACUGAGACACGGCCCAGACUCCUACGGGAGGCAGCAGUGGGGAAUAUUGCACAAUGGGCGCAAGCCUGAUGCAGCGACGCCGCGUGAGGGAUGACGGCCUUCGGGUUGUAAACCUCUUUCACCAGGGACGAAGCGCAAGUGACGGUACCUGGAGAAGAAGCACCGGCCAACUACGUGCCAGCAGCCGCGGUAAUACGUAGGGUGCGAGCGUUGUCGGAAUACUGGGCGUAAGAGCUCGUAGGGUUGCA